GGGUUGUUAGCUCAGCUGGUUUAGAGUAUCGCCUUGACAGGGCGGGGGUCACUGGUUCGAACCCAGUACAGCCCA
rnacentral:tRNA from 1 species